UUUAAUGGGGUGACACACAUCCAUGGGGCUGUCCGUGGAGUCAAAGAAAUCAAGAAAGAAGAAAUGUUGAAGAUACAGUUAGCUCAAUGGCGGACACAGUGAAGUGGCUGAGUUGUCUCAAGGCGUCUAAACAGACGCUUAGCGUUCAGCGAAGAGGAUCACAAGGAGAAAACACCAUUCACUCCUUAAUUCAGCAAAUGCUGAAGUGCCUAGGACUCCGGAGUCAUCCUGUCAAUCACAGCUCGUUAAAACUUCAAAUUCAGUAAUAUCAAGAAAGAAAGAGCAAGAGAUGAAGAAGCUAAGAAGGCUAUGAGGAGGAGGGCCUGGGCACGUUCCCUUUCUCGAAUGCUCUUUGCACCUGUGUCCUUUGUUUUAAGGUUGUGAUCACCUCCAGAGCACUUCAGACCCGAAAGAAGGGAACAACCCAAGUCCAGACAUGAAUGCAGGAAAAUGUUGGGGCAAGGGAAACAGGCUUCGGGAAACAUCCAUACAAGAGGUCACGUUUGAGCAGGUCUUCAGAAAUGAUAGACAAUGGAAGAAUACGCAUGUCACAAUGGAACUCAUUCAGAAUCCCUUUGAGCUCUCGGAUCUCCCUCCUCUCCUCCGCUGACGUGAGUUCUGUGUCUGAAGCUGAUUCUUCCUCCUUCCUCUCUGCUGCAAGCUCAAUUGAUUCCCAGUUAUUACUCUAUUCCAGGCCGCCACUGGACAGUGCAAGAGUGUUUCCUGGAAACCCACAGUUUUGUUGAAUUUGCAUUUGUUGCUAUUAGAGAUUGUGGUCAUGUGAUGAACCCAAACCAGGGUCCAAUUUUUCCUUCUCCAGCCAACUGUGUCUAGAAACAAUUGGUACUUCACAGCUAUUUCAGUGGCUUCCAAGGAAUUUUCCCCAGAGAUGUGCAGGCUCACUUGUGACCCUCCCAGGAGCUCCCUCCAAUAGCUGCUGCCUAAACCUGCCACCAAAACCAAGUCACUUUGUUUCAUGAGUCUUGCAUGAAUACAUGAAUCUGGAUUCAAUAAAGCCGUUUUCUGCUGGCCUGUCAAAAAAAUCAACCCCACAAAGGAUUAAACUUUUCUCAAUUUGUCUUCCAAACACGAACUGGACUUCCCAGUGAUUUAUCUUGGCAAAAUGUGAGCGUAGCAGGCCAGAGGCAUGCUGGGUAGAAUCCCAUCAUUAGUCAUCAAAGAAGUGACUCAGUUGACUUGGCAUUAACCUUUGGCCUUUGACCAAACAUAUAGAAAUGUUUAAUUGUUGACAAAGCAGACUAAAGGCAUUCAGAAGAAAGAUAUGGGGAAAGGAGAGGAAAUACAUAAAUAAGUAUGAACCUUGUGGCUUAUGAGUCAGAGGACAUGUUACAUCUCAGGCCCAAAUAUG